rnacentral:lncRNA from 1 species
CACGUCUGUAAUCCCAGCACUUUGGGAGCCUGAGGUGGGUGGAUCACAAGGUCAGGAGUUCGAGACCAGCCUGAUCAACAUGGUGAAACCCUGUCUCUACUAAAAAAUACAAAAAUUAGCCAGGCCGAGUGUGGUGGUGGGAGCCUGUAAUCCCAGCUACUCAGGAGGCUGAGGCAGGAGAAUUGCUUGAACCCGGGUGGCAGAGGUUGUGGUGAGCCAAGAUCAUGCCACUGCACUCCAGCCUGGGCAACAAAAUGAGACUCCACCUCGUGGGGGAUAAAAAAGGACUUUAUUUAAGAAUAAUUGGCAUAAUAAAUGAUCUGUGGGAAAAUCCUUAGGAAUUUCUACAUAAACUAUUGAUGGCAGUGGUGGCCCAUCUGGAGUGGCCACUGUGAAGAUGCCAGCUGCAAUAGGGAGGGCAUGACUGGGGCUGCACAUUCCAUGGAGCCAGCGGGAGCCAGGAACAGUCCUGCCCACGGCUGCCCACGGACCAAUCAGCACGCAGUUCCUCCCUUCUGAGACCAUAAAAAUCCCAGACACAGUCAGACUCACAGAGAUAACUGACUACCAGCUGUGAGAGGGAGCUACCCAAUUUGAGUCUCCUUAACCCAUCCGACCACGUGUUUGCAGAAAAAAGAGCUCUACCCACUCCGAGUCUCCUGUUUGCUGAGGGCUGCACUCCUCACGACAACCUGCCUGCAGAAAGGAGCUCUACCCACUCCGGGUCUCCUCUCUGCUGAGAGCUGGACACUCAUUGGGACGACCUGCCUACAGAUAGGUCAGGAUGACCUGCCUGCAGAUACCCACCCUGGGUCUCUUCUCCACCAAGGGCUGCGCUCAUCAGAAGGACCUGCCUGUGGAAAGAAACUACCCACUUCGGGUCUCUGAAGGGCUAUUCUAUCACUCACUGUCUCCCUUGCUUACUCUCCAGUUGUCUGCAUAUGUCAUUCUUUCUGGACAUGGGACAAAAACUUGGGACUCACUGAAUAGUGGGACUGAAAGAGCUGUAACACAAAGCAGGGCUGAAACCGCCACCCCGCCCCCCCCCCCCCACCUCCCCGUGACUGGUUACCACAUUGCAGGCAAUGAGAAAAAAAGGGCUGCUGCCCUUUAGGGGUCCCAGACCUAGGGGGUCCCCAAGCCAGGACUCUGACACCCUCUUUGGGGCUCUGCAGUUUCUGGCAUCUCCAAGCUUCUGGAUGUCACUGCAUUCCCCUUGUCCAGACAUGAGUGCCCACAGCAGAAGCUGCUUGCAGUGCAUCAGAUCCAGCCACAUGCAUGCAUGGAGCCGGCACCUUUGCCGGUGCCUGGAGCUACCUGCCCCGCCAUAGCAGCCUUCAUGCCUGGCUGUGCACAGUGGCUGGACCCUGCGCUCACUUGCACAUGCACCCCUCACCAUUCCAUUCCUGGUUUGCCCUUGGCAGGUGUCGAAUUUGGGCCCAUAACACAAGCCAAGUGCAGCCUGCCAGGCCAAGUAGAUGGAACAAGCCCAGCAGGCCUGAGCAAAACUCGGACAAAGAUGCCAACGGCCACAGAGGUUUCUGGCUAGAAAAGCAACACCUUAAGGAUCCCAAGACUAUCAUGUUAUCUGCCAAUAAAGACAGUUUUCCUUCUUUUCA